rnacentral:rRNA from 1 species
CCUACGGGUGACAGCAGUGAGGAAUAUUGGUCAAUGGACGAGAGUCUGACCCAGCAAUGCCGCGUGAAUGAUGACUGCCCUCUGGGUUUUAAACUCCUUUUACAUGGGAGUAAAACAGGGUAUGCAUACCCUCUUGUAUGUACCAUAUGAAUAAGGAUCGGCUAACUCAGUGCCAGCAGCGCCGGCAAUAUGGAGGAUCCGUGCGUUAGCCGGAUGUAUUGGGUUGAUGGGGAGCGGAGGGGGAUUGGUAAGUCAGUUGUGAAAGUUUGGGGCUCAACCGGAGUAUUGCAGGUGAAACUGGCAGUCUUGAGUACAGUAGAGGUGGGCGGAAUUCGUGGUGUAGCGGUGAAAUGCUUAGAUAUCACGAAGAACUCCGAUUGCGAAGGCGGCUAACUGGACUGCAACUGACACUGAUGCUCGAAAGUGUGGGUAUCAAACAGGAUUAGAUACCCUUGUAGUC